CCUUGCACUACAUGCAUUUUAUGCGCACCCUAAUUAAAACUCACCUCAACACAGCUUUGCCCAACAACUCCACAAACAACCAAAGCAGAUCACGCGAAAACAUGCACUGCCUAACUGCGCGGGCGACAGUUAUUUUUCAUUGAGUAAACAAGAGCGCGUGCAAAGCAAUUGAAAGUGAAAAUGUGUUAAUAAAAUGUGUAUAAUACUAAAAUUAUAAAAGUGUUUAAAUAAAUUAAAACAAAAUAUAUAAUUUCGGAGUAAAAAAGUGAAAGGUGUGAAAUAAUAAGUGCAAAAAGUGUAUGUGUGUAAGUGUAAUGAGAAAAGUGUUUGAAAUUAUGUAAAAAGCAAGUCCAAUGGCUUAUUGGAAAUUCAGUAAUGAAAAUAUUAAAAUUAGUGUAAUAUUUAAAUCUAAUAAGUGCAGUAUGUGUGAAGUGUAGUGCUAUUUGUGCGUUGAUUUGGUAUAAAUACCAUAAUGGUACUUAUGUGUUCAUAAAAAUAAGUCGAUUUCCACUUCUUACCGCAAAUAUGGUAGUUAUUGAAUUGAAAACAAUAAUUGAAAGCGUUUUUGUUUUAAGUUUAUUUAUACAUACCUGUGUAUUGAAUUACAUAAAAAAGUUGUAAAAGGUGACUGAAAUUCAAACACGAUAUGUUUAUGGUGACCAGAUUACUUGUCGGAUCAACGCGUAGAUAAGUGUUUCCUCAGUGGUGGGCGGAAAAACACACUCAUAUAAACGUUCAAUAAUUGAGACAAAGAAAGAUAAAUGAUAAGAGCUACGUAGGGAUAUAAACAAGAAUCCAUGGGGCUAAUGCAUAUCGCAAAAUGUGUCAAUAUAAUCGACACACUAGAAAGUCCUUUCAAAAUGCCCCUCUAUUUGAUGAAAAUGAUAUGAAGCUAUCUUAAACUUAAAGACAGGGAACUGCUAUACGAUACACGUGACGAUCCCCAAAGUAAGGAAAUAACCCCCGGAGCAGCACAGCGUUCAAUACUCGGCCCAGAUCAAUGGAAUGCCUGCUACGACGGAAUUUAAAACAUCCAAAUGCUAGACGACUGAUAACUUGUUGGCUAUGCAGACGACAUCGCUGUCAGAUGCAAACUAACGCAAGUUAUGCUCCGUACACAUACAUUACUGUACUCACACGGCCUAGCCCCAGAAAAAACUGAAACACAUCCUGCUGGAUGCAAGUGCACUCAGAAACCAUCAGAACGACGAAAACCCUAAAAUACGUAGGAAUAUGAGGGGACAACAAACUGCCGUACUGGGUCCAAAUUCAACAUGCUGCAACAUAGUCAGCCAAUAUAAAUAUGUCGGUAGCAAGACUUAUUGCAAAUACCGGUGGCCCGCUUGCAAGUAGAAGGAAUUACUCAUACAGUAGCGAAAUAGGAUCGAUACAUUUUAUGUUAAACAGAUUUACUCGUAGAGGAGAAAAGACAACUCCGGUUACGAUAGAACGAUGAAAAAGAACUUCAUAUGCUCACAAGACUACCAGCAAGGAAGCAAACACUCGAACUCUGGCAUGAUCGAUGGAGAAGGGAGCGCAAAGGAAGAUGGUCAAAGCCAUAGAUAUAUGGCACAGUAGAAAACACGGCGAGGUGAACUGCUACUUAACACAGAUGCUCUCCGGACACGGAGAAGGAGAACUAAAUACGGAAAACCUAUUAGAAAAAAUUAUAGCUAGCGGCGAAAACUGACAGCAAAUUGCCUAAUACUUGAAAUAUGUACUACGCACUAAGAAAAUGAACAUGGAGAGGUAGAGAUUCUCUGCUAUAUCUCUGCUAUCAACACGGCGAUUUUCAAGCACUGUUUCUUUAAACUUUUCAAUGUUAUCGUCAUUAAGCGAGGUGGUUUUUAAUUACUUAACUGAAUGCUUUCUGCCCCUCAAAUUAUAUAUAGCUGUGAUUCCAUUGGAAACAAAAUAUUUCAAGCAAAUUCCUUGUUACAUCUUUUUUGUUGGUAAAAAUCCGCCAAACACAGACUAAUUGACAUAUGGAAAUCACACUUUACAAGAACAUAAAGAAGUUGGUAGAAGUCUAGAAAAAAAUGUUUUAUCAAUUCGAUUUGCGCGCGCAGUAUACAUGGUGGUGCAUGUUCGGGCUAGAUCAGAUGGUAUUAUUUCAUGCAAGCGAUAGUUUGAGUAAAAUUAUCGUAAACGAUAUUAGGAGUUAAAAGUGCUUGGAAAAGUAAGUGAAGAUUAAAUCCUGUCUAAAAAAUCUGUAUCAGUACUUCCCCAAUGUAACUUUAAUAAUAAUUUUCAAACUAUCACAUAAAUCGGUGAGUAUGUAAGUUGAUUUUAAAAAUUAUGAGAAAAUAUAAUGUUCGGCUACAUACCACCAUAA